GCUAGACAGCUAGCCUGAACAUAACCAUAAAUUUCAAAUAUAAAUAAACAAACCACCCCCACACACUAAAACAUUCUACCCCCCAAGUAUAGGCGAUAGAAAAGGCACUCAGAGCAAUAGAAAAAGUACCGCAAGGGAAAGCUGAAAAAGAAAUGAAAUAACACUACAAAGCAAAGAAAAGCAGAGACUAAACCUCGUACCUCUUGCAUCAUGAUUUAGUAAGAAAGCCCAAGCGAAGAGAACUUAAGUUUGACCCCCCGAAACCAGGAGAGCUACUCCGGAGCAGCCCAACGGGGCGAACCCGUCUCUGUGGCAAAAGAGUGGGAAGACUCCCGAGUAGAAGUGAUAAGCCUACCGAGCCUGGUGAUAGCUGGUUGCUCAGGAAACGAAUAUAAGUUCGGCCAUAUGAGAUCCUAAUUUUGUGAAUAAAAAAACAAGGAAACAUAAGAGUUAGUCAAAAGAGGUACAGCCCUUUUGAAAAAGGAUACAACCUUACACAGGAGGAUAAGGAUCAAAAACUAAAAGGUACUCCCCUCAGUGGGCCUAGAAGCAGCCACCUGAAUAGAUAGCGUUAAAGCUCAAGCAGAAAAUACCCAACAAUAAAAAUAAAAAAAUCCACACCCCCUAUAAAUACUGAGCCCCUCUAUAGGACUAUAGAGAAGAUUCUGCUAAAAUUAGUAAUAAGAGGAACAAACCCCUCUCCUCGCACAAGUGUGAGUUAAAUAGGAUUAACCGCUAACAACUAACGGACUCAUAUAGCGAGAAUAGCAAAACUAUAAAAAUGAACAAGAAAACCUUGCCCUAAUUACCGUCAACCCAACACAGGAGUGCACCCAGGAAAGACUAAAAGGGAGAGAAGGAACUCGGCAAACCAGGACCCCGCCUGUUUACCAAAAACAUCGCCUCUUGCUAACAAUGAAGUAUUAGAGGUCCCGCCUGCCCUGUGACAGCAAUGUUUAACGGCCGCGGUAUCUUAACCGCGCGAAGGUAGCGUAAUCACUUGUCUUUUAAAUGGAGACCUGUAUGAAUGGCAUAACGAGGGUUUAACUGUCUCCUCUCCCCAGUCAAUGAAAUUGAUCUACUCGUGCAGAAGCGGGUAUAAUAACAUAAGACGAGAAGACCCUAUGGAGCUUUAGGCAAAUGAUCAAGCACACCUAGCCCAGUUUUCGAACAAAGCCAGGGAAAACAAAAGCCACUGAUCAACAUGCCUUCGGUUGGGGCGACCAUGGAGGAAAAAAGAGCCUCCAAGUGGAACGGGAAAACCCUUUAACUAAGAGAGACAACUCUAAGCACCAGAAAAUCUGACCAAAAAUGAUCCAGAAUUAAACCUGAUCAACGAACUGAGUUACCCUAGGGAUAACAGCGCAAUCCCCUCCCAGAGUCCAUAUCGACGAGGGGGUUUACGACCUCGAUGUUGGAUCAGGACAUCCUAAUGGUGCAGCCGCUAUUAAGGGUUCGUUUGUUCAACGAUUAACAGUCCUACGUGAUCUGAGUUCAGACCGGAGUAAUCCAGGUCGGUUUCUAUCUAUGAUCUAACCUACCCCUAGUACGAAAGGACCGGGGUAUGGGGGCCUACGAAAAAACAAGCCCCACCCCUAUCCGCUGAAAACAAAUAAAACGGCAAAUGGGGAAGACGUAAAUGCCAGAGAUAAUGGCAC
rnacentral:rRNA from 1 species